rnacentral:rRNA from 1 species
GGCGGACGGGUGAGUAACGCGUGGAUAACCUGCCGUAUACAGGGGGAUAACACUUAGAAAUAGGUGCUAAUACCGCAUAAGCGCACGGUUCCGCAUGGAACAGUGUGAAAAACUCCGGUGGUAUACGAUGGAUCCGCGUCUGAUUAGCCAGUUGGCGGGGUAACGGCCCACCAAAGCGACGAUCAGUAGCCGGCCUGAGAGGGUGAACGGCCACAUUGGGACUGAGACACGGCCCAAACUCCUACGGGAGGCAGCAGUGGGGAAUAUUGCACAAUGGGGGAAACCCUGAUGCAGCGACGCCGCGUGAGUGAAGAAGUAUCUCGGUACGUAAAGCUCUAUCAGCAGGGAAGAAAAUGACGGUACCUGACUAAGAAGCCCCGGCUAACUACGUGCCAGCAGCCGCGGUAAUACGUAGGGGGCAAGCGUUAUCCGGAUUUACUGGGUGUAAAGGGAGCGUAGACGGCAGCGCAAGUCUGGAGUGAAAUGCCGGGGCUCAACCCCGGAACUGCUUUGGAAACUGUGCAGCUCGAGUGCAGGAGAGGUAAGCGGAAUUCCUAGUGUAGCGGUGAAAUGCGUAGAUAUUAGGAGGAACACCAGUGGCGAAGGCGGCUUACUGGACUGUAACUGACGUUGAGGCUCGAAAGCGUGGGGAGCAAACAGGAUUAGAUACCCUGGUAGUCCACGCCGUAAACGAUGAUUACUAGGUGUCGGGGGGCCAAGGCCCUCCGGUGCCGCCGCAAACGCAUUAAGUAAUCCACCUGGGG